UACGUAGGGGCCUAGCGUUGUCCGGAUUUAUUGGGCGUAAAGAGCGUGUAGGCGGUCCGGUAAGUCAGCUGUGAAAGUCAAGGGCUCAACCCUUGAAAGCCGGUUGAUACUGUCGGGCUAGAGUCCGGAAGAGGCGAGUGGAAUUCCCGGUGUAGCGGUGAAAUGCGCAGAUAUCGGGAGGAACACCAAUGGCGAAGGCAGCUCGCUGGGACGGUACUGACGCUGAGACGCGAAAGCGUGGGGAGCA
rnacentral:rRNA from 1 species